rnacentral:rRNA from 1 species
GACAGAGGGUGCGAACGUUGUUCGGAAUUACUGGGCGUAAAGCGCGUGUAGGCUGUUCGGAAAGUCGGCUGUGAAAGUCCAGGCUCAACCCUGGGAUGCCGGUCGAUACUGCCGGACUAGAGUCCGGAAGAGGAGAGUGGAAUUCCUGGUGUAGCGGUGAAAUGCGCAGAUAUCAGGAAGAACACCCGUGGCUAAGGCGGCUCUCUAGUACGGUACUGACGCUGAGACGCGAAAGCGUGGGGAGCGAACAGG